UUUAACGGGUCAGCAUCAAUUUUGACCGGUGGAAAAAGGUCAGGGGAAUGUGGCAUCUUCGGAUGUGUUAUAGCCCCUGGUUGUAUACAUCGGUUGGGAUUGAGGAACUCAGCACGCCGUAAGGUCGGGUUUUUAACCACGUUCGUGCUUAGGAUGCUGGCAUAAUGGCUUUAAUCGACCCGUCUUGAAACACGGACCAAGGAGUCUAACAUGCCUGCGAGUGUUUGGGUGGAAAACCCGAGCGCGUAAUGAAAGUGAAAGUUGAGAUCCCUGUCGUGGGGAGCAUCGACGCCCGGACCAGACCUUUUGUGACGGAUCCGCGGUAGAGCAUGUAUGUUGGGACCCGAAAGAUGGUGAACUAUGCCUGAAUAGGGUGAAGCCAGAGGAAACUCUGGUGGAGGCUCGUAGCGAUUCUGACGUGCAAAUCGAUCGUCAAAUUUGGGUAUAGGGG
rnacentral:rRNA from 1 species